ensembl:lincRNA
AUGGAAUCAUAUUUUAUGUUAUUAGGAAGGAUAAGAGAGCAUCUCCACUUGAGAAUCCUGUCAAAGAUGCCGAUUACCACUGAUUUCAUGCUUAUCCGACUGCAGAUGUGUUUCACUGAUGGCUCUUAUUGCACAAAAUUACUACUACUGGGAAUCCUGAAGUUCUUGAAGGCUAACAUCAGUAGGCCAAUAACAGCAGGUAAGAAAGCAGCAGAACAGAGAGUGUAUCUACUGACAUCUAUCCCUGAUUUUCUGGGGAUCUUGGAGAACUGGGAGAUUGUGUGUGCAAUGGUCAUCAUCACCAUCAUUAUCAUGACCUCCAUCAUUUACUAGCAUCUGAUUUAUGUUCCAGAAGGUAAGAACUUACAUAAAUUGUUUAAUUCAAUCCUCUAACAGCACUGUAUUUUAAAUUUUAUCUCAAUUUCAUAUUAAAGAAAAACAGAAACCACUGACAGAGAAGUCAGAUAACUUGUUCAAAGGCAUGUUGGCAGUAAAUAAUGAAGCCAACAUUCAAGCCUAACUCUACCAUCUGUGUCCUUAAUAACAGAACACUGUGUCAAUAGCAUCUCUUCUCCAUUCGCGUAUCCAAGAGGAUAAAAUGCAGUGGAAGCUGCAUGAAACCUAAGAGAAGCUCAUUUUAUCUCUUGUCUCAGGUGCUCGUGGACUAUGGUUUAUCAAUGAGGGGGUAGGAACAUGUGAAGAAGAAAUGGAUACACUACAGAGAAAACACAAGCAGAAUUGUCCUGCUCAUCAGAUAUUAUUCCCAAUCUCAGGUGCUAGCUACACAACUGUAUCCUGAUUUUGUGUAUGUCAGAGGGAGGAAACAUAACCUAUGUCACAGAUUUUUGUCUCAUAAGCUCAAAAGCAGUCAGAGGAGGAAGGGUUCUCAUAGGUUCCCCAGCCUAACUCUCUUACUCUAUUAAGUGAUCUUCAAACUCAAGUCCAUGCUAAGCAGAAACAGCCUCUACUAAACCUUCCCCAACUCCAAGGCCCCCAGGCAGACGAUGUUCUCUUUCUUUGGAGCUGCAUAACAUUUUCCCUUUGGCUGUGAGAACACCCUGGGUAUAUUUUGUUAUACUUUAUUAUUCACAGCACUAUCCUGUUGUUACUGGGAUUGCAGGCUAUUUAAGGGUAGAAAUUCUGUCCUAAUCCUUUUGUUCCUCAAUACCUAAUGCCUAGCACAGAGGGACAUGUAGUUACCAAAACUUAUUGAGUUAAAUUUUAUAUAUGACCAAUCUAAGAGCCAAGAUGUUGAACAAUUUGCUCAAAUCGCAUGUAGAAUCAUAGUUGGGACCAAGAAAGAUUUCUCCUCCUGGUAAUUUAUAAUAUACUAUGUUGGCCCUCAUCUUGGGUAUGUAUUUGUCUUUCUUUUUUUAUAUAUAUAUAUAUCAGUUGGCCAAUUAAUUUCUUUUCUAUUUAUAGUAGAGACGGGGUCUCGCUCUUGCUCAGGCUGGUUUUGAACUCCUGACCUUGAGCAAUCCGCCCGCCUCGGCCUCCCAAGAGCUAGGAUUACAGGCGUGAGCCACAGCGCCCGGCCUUGUAUUUGUCUUUAUCUUGUUGUAUUGGGUGUGUG